UACGUAGGGACCAAGCGUUGUCCGGAUUUACUGGGCGUAAAGAGCGCGCAGGCGGUCGAUCAAGUCGAGUGUGAAAGCCCCCGGCUCAACUGGGGAGGGUCAUUCGAUACUGAUCGACUCGAAGGCAGGAGAGGGUAGUGGAAUUCCCGGUGUAGUGGUGAAAUGCGUAGAUAUCGGGAGGAACACCAGUGGCGAAGGCGACUACCUGGCCUGUUCUUGACGCUGAGGCGCGAAAGCUAGGGGAGCAAACGGGG
rnacentral:rRNA from 1 species